rnacentral:rRNA from 1 species
CCCUCCCUCUGGCGGCAUGCCUAACACAUGCAAGUCGAACGAGACCUUCGGGUCUAGUGGCGCACGGGUGCGUAACGCGUGGGAACCUGCCCUUAGGUUCGGAAUAACUCCCCGAAAGGGGUGCUAAUACCGGAUAAUGUCCUCGGACCAAAGAUUUAUCGCCUUUGGAUGGGCCCGCGUUGGAUUAGCUAGUUGGUAGGGUAAAAGCCUACCAAGGCGACGAUCCAUAGCUGGUCUGAGAGGAUGAUCAGCCACACUGGGACUGAGACACGGCCCAGACUCCUACGGGAGGCAGCAGUGGGGAAUAUUGGACAAUGGGCGAAAGCCUGAUCCAGCAAUGCCGCGUGAGUGAUGAAGGCCUUAGGGUUGUAAAGCUCUUUUACCCGGGAUGAUAAUGACAGUACCGGGAGAAUAAGCUCCGGCUAACUCCGUG